rnacentral:rRNA from 1 species
UACGGAGGGGGCUAGCGUUGUUCGGAAUUACUGGGCGUAAAGCGCGCGUAGGCGGUCUGUCGCGUCGGCUGUGAAAUCCCGAGGCUCAACCUCGGGUCUGCAGUCGAUACGGGCAAACUGGAGUGUUGCAGGGGAGACUGGAAUUCCUGGUGUAGCGGUGAAAUGCGCAGAUAUCAGGAGGAACACCGGUGGCGAAGGCGGGUCUCUGGGCAACAACUGACGCUGAGGAGCGAAAGCGUGGGGAGCGAACAGG